AAAGGCUUUUGGAAGUAAGUGCUUUUUGAAGAUGUUUACAUCAGCGGUGAAUCGGGAGUGAGGAAUUGAAAUGUGGAGUGAAAACAUUAAAUUUAGGAAGCUCUGUUCUGUACUGGAGUAGAAUGGGGUUCAGGCGUGGGCAUUACAGGAGGGAGAGCACGGAGCUGCACAGAGCUGGCUGGGUGAUCUUGGGGAGCCAGCGUGUUUGCUCGAACAUGUGACCUCUUCUUGCCUGCACAAUAAAGGAAUUGGCUUACAUGAUUAUGGAGGCUGACAAGUCUCAAGAUCUGCAGACCUAGGCGGGGCCAAUAGGUUAGUUCCAGUCCAAAGGCUGGCAGGCUCAAGACCCAGGAAGAUCUUAUGUUUCAUUUUGAGUUCAAAGGCUGGAAAAAAUCGAUGUCCCAGCUUGAAGGCCAUCAGGCAGGAGGAGUUCCUUCUUACUGAUAGGAAGUUUACAGAGACAAAGGGAUCUGAAAUCAACCAGAAUAAAAUGACCACGGAGUAGACGUGUUACAAAGAAAAAGAGAGGAAAAUCGGCAACAAUAGUGACAACAAGAACAAAAUAACAAGAAAACUCCCACAAAGACAGAAGGAAGACAAUGCAGCUAGUGAGCAAAUUAGGAAUUUGAAAGCAUCUUCUGAGAGCUUGAAUGAUGAAUGUACUGAGGUUCCUAAGGGUGAGGUGAGAAGACCCAUCCAGCAUCACAAGACCCAUUCAAGGUGAUGUGGCUAGUUUGUGCUGAAGGCAGAAGUUUCCAGAAUUCCUGACCCUCAUGCUAUGGAACAGUCCUUGUGAGAAUAUCAGAGAUGAAUGAACAAGCAGGUGGAAGUUCGGAGGAAGACACGAUUAUAGACAAAAUGAAGGCACUACAUUUUCUCUGAUAAAAAAGUCUCUCAACAUUUUUAUAUCCUGUUGGUUUUCUAGGAAACGUAGACAUGCUCUGUAGGAAAUAAUCUCAAAAUGGACGUGAUGGAUUAAAGAUGGGGAAACAUGCCCUGGAAUGCCUAAUGGCAACAUUAGUCUACGUCUACAGAUUAAUGUGGCUGCUGAAUAUAGUUUUUUUUUUUUUUUUAAAAGCACUUGGAUUCA
rnacentral:lncRNA from 1 species